UCAAGCGAUUCUUGGUUCCUUUGGGAAAUGAAAUCCAACAUUUUUGGAUUCAAAUUUGGGUUUGGAUGAUAAAUUGGAGUUGUGCGUUCAAAAAGUGUAGCUAUUUGUGUGGCUGUGAUUGGAAUGAGAAGGCUCCUUUGCAUGCCCCAUUUAUUCUUGUGGUGCUUCCAAGUGGGAUUUCGUUACUGAGAAAAUGUUACAGAAUGCGUGUUGAUGAUGAAAUCAAAUUUAUCCCAAAAUGCUUGAUAUUCGUUUCACAGCUGACAUUUCCACGAACAGGGAUGGAUGAUUGAACUUUGAAGAUAUUGGAAUCUCCUAUUUGAAUCCAGAAGUCAAGAUAUCACGCCUUAGGAAAACAACAAGUAAUAGCAUGUUUGAAGGAAUGGUGAGCGUUGAAACUCUGAAUCGGGGUUUCACAAGGGAAAAAGAAUCCUGCUCGGUUAUGUGAAGUUAAAAUCUAGUUUGAGUAGAAGUGGAAAAAAAAUGCAGCUUUUGGGAUCAGUUGAGAAUUUGACUUCAGACUUACUUUUUAGACAAAAGGUAUCCAAAUAUUUCACUUCAAACACAAAUUUAACCAAGAUCAAAUUUAUAAAUUCAUGACCAUCCAAAGUAAAGUUUGCAUCUUCUCAGCCAAAACACAUUGAUUUGUCUCUGAAGUGCAUAACUGAAGGUUGAAGUUGUUGCGGUCUUAGCCAACUAAGGGUGGGACUUUCACUUGGACUCUUUAAAGAAUAGCUCAAUUGCGAUGGACCUCAUUCGAAUUAGGAGGAGGAAAACAAAUUCUUUCAAGUGAAACUGAAUAGCUGCAGCAAAACAGGAAGAACUCCAUUGGUAUGUAAUACAAACAAGCUGUUCCAUAAAAUUGCACUCUUAUGUUGUUUCUUAAUUUACUCUUUUUAUUUCUAUAAGAUUCUUUUUACCUGCUUUCCAUUACAU